CCACUUCCUUUCAGUUCUCUAUCUCUGGCCCACCCUUCCUCCUCAGCCUUUAUGUUAUUUUCCCCAUUCUCCUGGCCCAUGUUCAGAGGAAGAGGCUUGGCAGGUGAAGACUGGGCAGUAAAGAUGUCUCCUCCUCAGCCGUGCAGAGUGGAAGCUACACAACUACGCAAACGUGACACACAAUCGUUUGUUAUCAUGUACAGCAUUAGAUGUGCUCACACACACAUGCACAUGCAUACACACACACGUACACAUACUUACACACUCUCACACACAGACCUACACAUGACUGCACAUCCAAACAUACCCAGACAAACACCUCAAAGGGAAACAUAUCUGUUUAGAAGAUACUGUAAAUAAAUCAAAUUAAUGACACAUGCCUACGCACACACACACAAAUGCGGAUGUGCGUGCACACACAAACACACACACAGAUCAUCUAACCUAUUAACUGUGGUGGGUCUGACAAGUUGGAGAUGUGGCAGUUGAUGAAGUAACAUUAAAAGAAUCUCAUGGACCAAUGAUUGGGGGAGAAACACUGGAAGAAACAGAAGUAUGGAGGGAGGCCCCACUCUUACCGACUAUCAAAACAGGGCCUUUCCUAUACAGUAGAAAAGAAAAGAAAGAAAAAGUUUAAAAAAAAUCAAGUAGAGUAGAGAGGCUUCAGAUAAUGAUUAUCAAGUGUAUAUAAUUUAGUUUAAGAGGAAUAGAGGCAGAAACAAAACAAAUGCAAAAUAAAACUACUUUACAUGAAACUGAUU
ensembl:lncRNA